rnacentral:rRNA from 1 species
GUCGAAGAUACCAGCUGGCUGCAACUGUUUAUUAAAAACACAGCACUGUGCAAACACGAAAGUGGACGUAUACGGUGUGACGCCUGCCCGGUGCCGGAAGGUUAAUUGAUGGGGUUAGCGGCAACGCGAAGCUCUUGAUCGAAGCCCCGGUAAACGGCGGCCGUAACUAUAACGGUCCUAAGGUAGCGAAAUUCCUUGUCGGGUAAGUUCCGACCUGCACGAAUGGCGUAAUGAUGGCCAGGCUGUCUCCACCCGAGACUCAGUGAAAUUGAACUCGCUGUGAAGAUGCAGUGUACCCGCGGCAAGACGGAAAGACCCCGUGAACCUUUACUAUAGCUUGACACUGAACACUGGUCCUUGAUGUGUAGGAUAGGUGGGAGGCUUUGAAGCGUGGACGCCAGUCUGCGUGGAGCCGUCCUUGAAAUACCACCCUUUAAUGGCUGGUGUUCUAACGUAGACCCGUAAUCCGGGUUGCGGACAGUGUCUGGUGGGUAGUUUGACUGGGGCGGUCUCCUCCCAAAGAGUAACGGAGGAGCACGAAGGUUAGCUAAUCCUGGUCGGACAUCAGGAGGUUAGUGCAAUGGCAUAAGCUAGCUUGACUGCGAGAGUGACGGCUCGAGCAGGUGCGAAAGCAGGUCAUAGUGAUCCGGUGGUUCUGAAUGGAAGGGCCAUCGCUCAACGGAUAAAAGGUACUCCGGGGAUAACAGGCUGAUACCGCCCAAGAGUUCAUAUCGACGGCGGUGUUUGGCACCUCGAUGUCGGCUCAUCACAUCCUGGGGCUGAAGUAGGUCCCAAGGGUAUGGCUGUUCGCCAUUUAAAGUGGUACGCGAGCUGGGUUUAGAACGUCGUGAGACAGUUCGGUCCCUAUCUGCCGUGGGCGCUGGAGAAUUGAGGGGGGCUGCUCCUAGUACGAGAGGACCGGAGUGGACGCAUCACUGGUGUUCGGGUUGUCAUGCCAAUGGCACUGCCCGGUAGCUAAAUGCGGAAAAGAUAAGUGCUGAAAGCAUCUAAGCACGAAACUUGCCCCGAGAUGAGUUCUCCCUGAGACUU